CAUCUCUUCACCUCCACUCAUUCAAUUCACUUUUUUUUUUUGUCUCUCACUCAAAGAACAAAAAGAAAACACUUUUACUCACUCACUAAUAAAAACACAAAAACACUUAUCUUCUUCCUUCCAAAUCCUUUCAUCUUUCGAACAAGACUUAUGCCACAGGUUCUUAGAGUUUUGAGUUAAGCAGGAGUUGCAAUAACGUCGAAGACGUGGCAAAAUGAUGAUUUGGAUUGGCGAUCGGAAAUAGUGAGUUUCAAGCUCGACUUAGGGUUUUAUUUAUUUUCACAUCCUUCUUGGAAUGUUGUUGUUGCAAUGGAAAUUCUUUAUUUGAAACAGUAGUGACUAUUUUUUUUUUUAUAAUGCGAA